rnacentral:tRNA from 1 species
GCGGGGUAGCUCAGUUGGUGAGAGCGCAGGAUUCAUAACCCUGAGGUCGGCGGUUCAAAUCCGCCCCCC